UUUUAUUGUUUAGGCAUUAUUGUAUAACAUGUUCCAUUGAUGUUUUUAGUUUGGACAUGUGUAUAUCUUAAUGCCAUUAGGCACUUAUGUUGUGACAGUACCAAAAUUUAACACUUGUAUGAUAUCCAUUGAUGUUUUUAGUUUGGACAUGUGUAUAUCUUAAUGCCAUUAGGCACUUAUGUUGUGACAGUACCAAAAUUUAACACUUGUAUGAUAUUAUUCUAGAUAUAUAUUAUACGGGUUGU
rnacentral:lncRNA from 1 species